rnacentral:rRNA from 1 species
CACCGGCGGCCCGAGUGGUAACCGUUUUUAUUGGGUCUAAAGGGUCUGUAGCCGGCCAAGUAAGUCCUUUGGGAAAUCUGGUAGCUCAACUAUCAGGCUGCCAUGGGAUACUGCUUGGCUUGGGACCGGGAGAGGUGAGAGGUACCUCGGGGGUAGGGGUGAAAUCUUGUGAUCCUCGAGGGACCACCAGUGGCGAAGGCGUCUCACCAGAACGGGUCCGACGGUAAGGGACGAAAGCUAGGGGCACGAACCGGAUUAGAUACCCGGGUAGUCCUAGCCGUAAACGAUGCUCGCUAGGUGUCAGUCACGGUGCGACCGUGAUUGGUGCCGUAGGGAAGCCGUGAAGCGAGCCACCUGGGAAGUAUGGCCGCAAGGCUGAAACUUAAAGGAAUUGGCGGGGGAGCACUACAACGGGUGGAGCCUGCGGUUC